CUACCAGCAACAAGACGACUACUCCCUGCACGCCACUAAACGGCGCUAUUUAACGCUUGGGUUCGCCCAAUACAAGAACUACAGCCCAACCUAGCUUAAGGCUAAAGCCGUGGACUACACCCCCGUGAGAGCCCUCUAUUUGACUAACAUACUCCCUUUUGAUCUCCCCCAUACCUUCAUAUCAAAGCUGGGAAUGAUUGACUUGCCCAAUACAAGAACUCCAGCUCCCUCGAAUAGUCCGAUUUUUCCUCCACGGCGAUAAGGGGCUAAAAGAUCUACUAGGUCAUGCAGGAAUGCAGAAACGGAACAAAGAAAAGCUUGACGCUAAUCCACUAAAGACUGAACCCAUCAAGCGAACAAGUCGCUAAGGCUUCCACAGACCGAGGCUUAUAGCAAAAGGAAAGACGAUUCUAUCCAAUCACAACCUCGCCAAGUCUCUAAUCAGGGGCUCCAUCAUGUUAGCCAAUACGAAGAGUGGCUGUUCUGUUAAUAGAGUAUAUCACAGCUAAUGCACUCCACGAUUCCGAAUACACCUAUAAGCAUCCAGUCACCAACUAGAGAAAAAGACAGUCUUCAAGUUGAACUAGCUUUAGGGUUGCUGAAACCUCUUUUCCUUCGACGGAGUUUCUGCUUUCUUGUUGGCUUGGCGGUGCUUUCCUUCCUCUGUGGAGAGAAGACAGAAAAGGGAUGUUUCCCCGCUUUCCGUCCGUCGUGUAUUCCCCCUUAUGUCUUCUGUAAGAACGAGAGGGAUGGGCUCCCCGCUAACACUUUUUCAGAUAUUCCCCCUUCCAAGGACGCUUUCUCGAGCCUUUUUCCCUCAUCCCUUUUGGUUUGGGGACGACAAGUACUUCGUCUCGAGUAGGACACCGGUGAUCUCUACAUUCACCUAUGUAAUUUCGAAAUCUGCUUUCAAGCAGCUCCGUUUUCUAAGGGAGAGUG
rnacentral:lncRNA from 1 species